AAUGUUUGUCGUGUUACCUUUUUUUCACUUGGCAUGUGGAUAUAGAAAUCCUCUAUGCGUUGUGGAAUUGUUAAUAUAAUUCAUUUUUUAAUGAGAUAUCAGAAGUAACUCCAUUAGACUCUGGGUUUAUGGUUUUCAAUUUCAUUUCUUUUUGGUUCCAACGAGUAGACGACUGAAUUAUGGAAGUAAAUGAUGAUGGUGAUUUGGUGGUGUUACUUGUCUUCGUAUUUUUAGACAGAUAUUACUUAUAAAAUCUUAAGAAUGAGUCAUAAAGAAUUUGAUCUUAAAAUGAACCUGUAGAAGGGAUAGUUUUAUUAUUAGUAUCCUUUAAUAAGAACACUGGCUCAACAGGUGUUCGCUAGCUGCUUCGGGAUGCUCAUUGUAAUUUCUUGGGUGGUUGUAUGCAAUCCCUUGCGGGCAUAGAUUUUCGGCCCUAGUGGCGGAGGUUAUUCCGGCUAGCGAAGCUCUAAGGUGGCUCAAACGGCGUGGUCGUAUGAGGAUGGUGCAUGAAUCUGAUUUUUUUUCUCUCUCUUGUUAAUCAGGCCAUCAACA
rnacentral:misc_RNA from 1 species